AGGAGGAGAAGAAGAAGAAGGAGAAGGAGAAGAAGGGAACCAAAGCCUCAGAGAGGGGAUGAAAGAUCUCUGCCACCACCAGUGAACAGACCUGGACUAGCUUUCUGGAGAGACAUGAAUUAUAUUGGAGAAGAGCUAACAUAUCUAAACAAGGAUAUUCUAACCUAUGCAGCCCCACUCUACCCUUACAGAUGAUGAGAAGAUGAGUGAAUCUAGCCGAGGUCAGCCCAGCUCAGUCCAUAUUCUUGAAUUAUCCUGGAGAGUCAUUGCCAAAGCUGGAAAACUCCAAUGGUCUGUAUGCUUUCAACUUUACUCAGAAGACAAACAUG